GAGUUAUUGUUAGUGGAGUUUUUUUGUGUUAUUUUGUUUAUGCAUUUUUUUUGCCUCCUGAUGGGCAUAUAAACCUGCGGCUACGGAGAAUAAAACAGGUAAACUGCCUUUGCCCAAACCUCUGUCACACUGCCUCCAGUCCUUCCACCACCGCAAGGCUAGCCAGGCAACAGGGCCCCACACUAAUAGUUAUAUAUUUAUAAUAUAUUAAUUAAGCUUAACCAACUUCAUUGUAAGGGUCCUAUGAGGAGUGGUUCAUAUUGGGAUAGGCAGAAGCACAGUAACAACAAUAACAAUCAUUUAAAUAAUAAUGUCAUUAACUUUUAUAUUAACAUAUAGUUUGUAAAUGAACAUUUAACAUUUAAAUUAUGUAAGAUAUAACUGUUUAUUAGUGCAAAAAUACAUUUAGUCAACUAUUAAAGGUUGGGUAUGGAAUUCGCUUUUUUGGCAAUUUUUGCAAAAUUACUUGAAAUCCUUAUCAUAACCCACUUACAGCCACUGAGUUAGAAGUACUGACAUGAAAAUUAAACAAGUCAAUCAUCUGUGGAACGGGCAGGGCUCGAAAAACUCCAGCCAAUGAUUUCCAGAGCCACCGAGUUGCAUUGGACAGUAAGUACGUCAAUCAAACGGUCGUACUGCACUCCCCCUCCCCCGCGCGACCCCUUCGUGCACGUACUCAAAGCUCGUGACCCAGAGCAAGCUUCUGUUGGUUGUUAUCCUGCGGUAGCUACUGGAGCUAGCUAACUAGCUAAUGGCUCGCUCUCGCGCAUCUGUGUUUGCUCGUGCAUGAUUGCGCGUCCAUGUACUUGGAAUGGGUGGAGUCAGAGUCAGCGUUGAAGGAGAGGGGGUAGGACCAUUUGAGUUGUGUAUUUUCAAAAUCUGCUGGCGUUUCGCAAAUCCCAUACCCAACCUUUAA